rnacentral:rRNA from 1 species
UACGAAGGGGGCUAGCGUUGCUCGGAAUUACUGGGCGUAAAGGGCGCGUAGGCGGGUCGUUAAGUUGGGGGUGAAAGCCCAGGGCUCAACCCUGGAAUUGCCUUCAAUACUGGCGACCUUGAGUAUGGCAGAGGUGUGUGGAACUCCGAGUGUAGAGGUGAAAUUCGUAGAUAUUCGGAAGAACACCAGUGGCGAAGGCGACUCACUGGCCCGUUACUGACGCUGAGGCGCGAAAGCGUGGGGAGCGAACAGG